GAUGAACGCUGGCGGCGUGCCUAAUACAUGCAAGUCGAGCGAACGGACGCGAAGCUUGCUUCUCUGAUGUUAGCGGCGGACGGGUGAGUAGCACGUGGAUAACCUACCUAUAAGACUGGGAUAACUUCGGGAAACCGGAGCUAAUACCGGAUAAUAUUUUGAACCGCAUGGUUCAAAAGUGAAAGACGGUCUUGCUGUCACUUAUAGAUGGAUCCGCGCUGCAUUAGCUAGUUGGUAAGGUAACGGCUUACCAAGGCAACGAUGCAUAGCCGACCUGAGAGGGUGAUCGGCCACACUGGAACUGAGACACGGUCCAGACGCCUACGGGAGGCAGCAGUAGGGAAUCUUCCGCAAUGGGCGAAAGCCUGACGGAGCAACGCCGCGUGAGUGAUGAAGGUCUUCGGAUCGUAAAACUCUGUUAUUAGGGAAGAACAUAUGUGUAAGUAACUGUGCACAUCUUGACGGUACCUAAUCAGAAAGCCACGGCUAACUACGUG
rnacentral:rRNA from 1 species